AAUGAACGCUGGCGGCGUGCCUAAUACAUGCAAGUCGAGCGAACAGAUGAGGAGCUUGCUCCUCUGACGUUAGCGGCGGACGGGUGAGUAACACGUGGAUAACCUACCUAUAAGACUGGGAUAACUUCGGGAAACCGGAGCUAAUACCGGAUAAUAUAUUGAACCGCAUGGUUCAAUAGUAAAAGACGGUUUUGCUGUCACUUAUAGAUGGAUCCGCGCCGCAUUAGCUAGUUGGUAAGGUAACGGCUUACCAAGGCAACGAUGCGUAGCCGACCUGAGAGGGUGAUCGGCCACACUGGAACUGAGACACGGUCCAGACUCCUACGGGAGGCAGCAGUAGGGAAUCUUCCGCAAUGGGCGAAAGCCUGACGGAGCAACGCCGCGUGAGUGAUGAAGGUCUUCGGAUCGUAAAACUCUGUUAUUAGGGAAGAACAAAUGUGUAAGUAACUAUGCACGUCUUGACGGUACCUAAUCAGAAAGCCACGGCUAACUACGUG
rnacentral:rRNA from 1 species